rnacentral:lncRNA from 1 species
UACCAUUUACUUUGCUUGAGAAUAGAUUAUCAUUUACUUGAGAAUGGACUAUGUUGUGGUCAUGGGUCAAGAGAUCGAAUGGGUUCAAAUGGUUGGCUUAUACCUGUCGCCUCCGCAUACAUAAGGUAUUGUCCACUUUGACUCAUGACCAUCUUUAAGCUUCAGUGGAUCUUUAGGCUUCAAUGGGCCUUUAAGCUUCAAUGGGCCU